GCAUGGAGCAUCCCAGAGGCUGUGGACAUUAGGAUCAUACUCGAACUUUCUGAAGGUUUUGUUUGGUCAGAUUCAUGGAGCGGAGGAUGCCUGUUGUUCUUCACAAAGCCCCUGUGAUAUGAUUCUUUUCACCCAAACUUCUUCCAGAGCUCUGGAGAUUUAGUCAAGUCCAGUGUGCUUGAAAAGAUUUUUUUUCUCUUUCCUUUUUCACUUUUGGUGGCGCAAUCCCUGUUGACAGCUUGGCUUUGGAGGGUUUCAUCUUACCAGCAACUGGGCUGCCAUGGGGCUUGGCUUCCCAGUGUGGAGGUGCAGGGGUCUCUGAGCGAGCCCACACAUUCUGCGUCCUUGUCACACUGCUCUACACCCCGGGGUUUUCAGUAAAGGCUCUUUCCUGACAAAUUAAGUCCAAAGGGUGAUGGGAAACACAGUAACCUUUCUCUGUUCUUUUCAUGGUUUCCUGCCAGGAUUUGCUGUUUGGUGACAUGGGAACACUGCACUAAGAUGACUUUUCCGCGAGUUGAUCACUGAUGAUUUUGGCUGUGACACAGAGCAUUAUUAGUAGUGCGACUGACUAACAUGAAUAAUAGUGAUUCUCAUAACAAAAGGAAUGUAGCCACAAUAAGAGAAAAAUCUUAGCCAACAGAAUGAUUUGAGGAAAACGCUAUUGAUAAUGAAAUGGGGCUUAUUGAAUUAACUGUUCCAUUUAGCAGACACAUGAGCAGAACCCAGGAUGGAAGAAUGUAAUCACCAGCGUGACUCCAGUGAUGGAGAUGAACUAGAUGUGGAGACUGGGGAGCAGCAGAGUCAACUCAGUUAUCAUCUUGGCGGCCGGGCUGCCGUCCAGCUCACAGAAGCCACCUGAUCCGGAAAAGAUUUCCAACGCCUGCUGGAAUUACUAUGAAAGGCAUCACCAUUUCUGGAGGAGGCUCUUGUGUUUAAUAUGCUUUCUAGCACGUUCUUCUAGUUCCUGUGCCAUUGAGCUGACCACAAAAAUUGGAUCAAUACAUCUGCUUAACAAGAUAUAAAAUCCAGCAUGUAGAAAGGUCUGUCAAAGGUCAAUCAAAAAGGUGUGGCAACCAUGGAAUACUAUGCAGCCAUAACAAAGAAUGAAAUCAAGUCCUUUGCAGCAGCAUGGAUGCAGCUGGAGGCCAUUAUCCUAAAUGAAUUAGUGCAGGAACAGAAAACCAAAUAUCACAUGUUCUGACUUAUAUGGGGGAACUAAACACUGGGCAUGGACCUAAAGACAAGAGCAGUAGACACUGGAGGCUAUAGAGGGGGCAGGGAAGGACAGAAGAAAAUGCCAAACAUCUACCUAUCAGGUACUAUGUUCACUAUCUGGGUGACAGUUCAGUUGAAGCCCAAACCUCAGCCAUGCAAUAUAUCCAUGUAAAAACCUGCACAUGCACUUUGGGAGGCCGAGGCAGGCAGAAAGCCAGGAGUUUGAGACCAGCCUGGUCAAUAGGGCAAAGCCCCAUCUCUACUAAAAAUGCAAAAAUUAGCCGGGUGUGAUGGUGGGCACCUGCAAUCCCAGCUACUCAGGAGGCUGAGGAACGAGAAUCACUUGAACCCGGGAGGCGGAGGUUGCAGUGAGCCGAGAUCAUGCCACUGCACUCCAGUCUGGGGGAGAGUGAAACUCUACCUCAAAAAAAACAAAAACAAAAACAAAAACAAAAAAUACCCCUGCGCAUGUGCUCCUUGAAUCUAAAAUUUUAAAAGAGGGGUGGCAAACUCGAGGCCCGAGGGAACUGGCAUUUCACAUAAAUGAGUGAGAUAAUGGACAUCCAGUGAUGCCAAGUGGCUCACGCUAAGACCAGGUGUGACACAUCCAGCUUUAGUUACUUUUUACAGCACCUUUCCAGGUAAAGCCGAAUGACUCCAAAACACCCAGAGGGCUGUCAGUUGUUCCACAUGCAGUUGAUUGGUGGUGCUGGUGGCUAUGUGUGUCCAGACAAAUGCACCUCCAAGCUGCAGAGCCAACCUGGCUUCAUGGCCAAGGAAGCACAGCGGUGACACGUUUCCCUGGUGACCCUCAUGUCAAAUGGAUGUCUUUUAAUCCUUUCCUCACCAAGCCAUCUCCUAUCACUCACCAAUCCUAAAAUCUCUUCUUCCUGUUUUUUCUUUCCUUCUUCUUCUAUUUUUUUCUAUAGGCUGUUUCCAUACAGGCAGAGGCCAGUGUCAUCUCCAGCACCUGGGGGACAUAAGAGAAAGAGCCAGUGGCCUUCCUCCAAGACAAUCUCAGGUGAAUACGCUUGACCCAGACGAGGGAAGGAUCGCACAAACUCUCUGUUGAUGUAUGUAGCAGUUAAUAAAUCAUUUUCAAGAAGCUAUUAUUCUCUUACUUAAAGCAUUCUUGUUUCACUGUGAACAGUGGUUAUUUUCUUAGUCGGGUUUAGAAGACAUCCUACUGUCCCCAACAUUGCAAUUGGUUCUGAUAUAUUUAGUAUCUUAGUCACCUUUCAACUCCAUGGACUCCAUUUCCUAAGUGCCAUGAGACAUGUUCCUGGGGAAACACUGUGUCCAAGGCAGUGAUUUGAGAGCAGGAGGUUUAUCAGGAGUGCUCUUGGAUACAGCCCUCUCUGGGAGGGAGGGAAGCAGGGCCCAGUGGCUCUAUAGUCAGGUCAGAGGCCUCAGCUGACCCCACAGGGGGUCCUGGAAGCUGGCAUUGUCCUUCAGAGUUGUCCCUGAUUGGUGCAACAGGUCAGGCCUUUGUUCUACCUUGCUGAUCCCUUAGCAAGGCCGCCCCUCUGGCAGGGGCCUUCCUGGGGAGGGACACAGCAGUGAGGCAGUUGCAGUGCUCCAGGGAGUGGGCCUUCCUGGGGAGGGACACAGCAGUGAGGCAGUUGCUGUGCUCCGGGGAGCGAGCACCUCUGUCUGGGACUGGGGUCUGGUCUGCGCACCAGGAAGUUUAUGUAUGGGGAAGAUUCCUGCCUCAUUUCUCUCUGGUCGAGAUGUUUUGUUUGUGAAGUUGCACAGGAGAUAAGAUUAACUUUUGGCUUUAAGAGUGCGUAACGCUGAAACUCCAGCCUGGCUGUGAUGUAUGGAUGAAACAUCAAGUUCUCUUUCUUCACACUCUCCCUUUUCACCCUUUUUACUUGUUUUCUGUACAAUUCUGUGACAAUGUGCGUGGUUCUCUCCCUACAAAACCUCUGCUGGCUCCCUGACAGCAUUUUGUAGCUGUUUGUAAGUGACAACUAAAGGCUGUUGCAGGGAAACAGAAGGACAUGCCACUAUAUUUUGGGGAUAUAUAGGGCAUUAUCUGAAAGCCUACUCCAGGGUAAGACGUUUACAACGUGUGCUUGCCUGUGCUGCGGUUGUUAGCAGGUGCAGGCUCCUUCACCCCCAUGUCCAGCUUAGGAAGGCUCACCUGGAAGCCCUCCCAGAUUGGAUUCUCAAUGUGUGCUUCACAUUUGCCACCUGGUUCACCGGCAUCUCUCGUCAGGGGUCUCUCGCAGGUAUGGCUGUGGAGGUUGGCAUCCAAGGGCGGGGCAGAGAUAAGCCCCAGCGCUUCCAGGGUCCCACGUAAAAAGAAAACAACAUACGAAAGAUGGUGCUGCGGCCUGCGGCAUUGAUGAUAUUUACGGGGUGAUGGAUGAAUGUGGCGAGCCAGGCAGCAUAGCCUGAUCAGGGUGAAAUGGCUGAGCAGACGAGCGGCGAGUGAAUCAAUCAUGGGACCCGCUCCACCCGCCAGCUGGGUUCAUCAGCUUCACAGCCUCUCUCUACAGGCUUAUAAAUUACCCCUGAUGGAGGGCUGGCAUGUUGGGCCAGGUUGCGGUGACUUCUCCAGCAGAGAUCAAUAGGCUGCGGUGAACAGAAGCAACAGAACUUUGAUGAACUCCAGUGAGAUAGUUGGCGAUGCACUCUUGCUUGCUUUGAUAAACCCGUAUAUUUUGUGCCCCAGCUUAAAUCUUCCAGCAAAAAAGCAAAGAUUUGGACUUAAUUUAACAUACCUAUGUAGUGUACCAUAGCACUGGAGGGCGUGGCCUCCUUCAGUCCUGGCCUCACUUGCUAGUUGUAUGACCUGGAUGGUUUACCUAAUUAACGUCUUUGUCCCUCGGACUCCUUACUUUUGAAAAUGGCAAUAAUAAUACAUAGGGCUUCUUCCUUAUGAAGCUCUUAGUUUUUCGUAGAAUUGAAUUAGUUAAUAUUUAUAAAUCAGCAUUAAUAAUUUUAGCAGUUAUUACUAUGGGCUUAGAUCUUAUUGCCUGGUCAACCUCAACUCCACUCAAUUUUGGAAGACUAGCUCACCUCUUCCUUUGCUGAUAAACAACAUCCUGUAUGUCACCCUAAAUGACAUGUAGCCACAUCUACUCCUACUUAUCUUCUUUUAAUCGAGAAAAUGAAGUGUGUCUUCUGUUCAAGGUCAGCCCCUCUGUCUGCGACUCUUCACCUCCCCUUCCCCGUCUUUCCGUGUUGACUCCAUAUCCUACAUUGACAAUUACUGUUCUCUCUCUUUGUGGUGUUUUGUUUCCUUUCUUUCUUCUUUUUCUUUUUUGAGACAGAGUUUCACUCUUGUUGCCCAGGCUGGAGUGCAAUGGCACAAUCUCGGCUCACCACAACCUCUGCCUCCCAUGUUCAAGUGAUUCAGUAGCUGGGAUUACAGGCAUGUGGCACCAUGCCCGGCUAAUUUUGUGUAUUUUUAGUAGAAACGGGGUUUCUCCAUGUUGGUCAGGCUGGUCUCAAAUUCCCGAACUCAGGUGAUCUGCCCUCCUUGGCCUCCCGAAGUGCUGGGAUUACAGGUGUGAGCCACCGUGCCCAACCUGUUUUGUUUUCUUUCUAAUGGUCUCACGUCCUUACCCUCUCUAGAUAUCUAAGUCUCUCCAGUUCAAAAACAAUAAACAAAUUAAACAAGCCUCCGUUGAUUCUGAAUCCGAAUCUAGUUACUUUUGUAUUUUUCUCUCUCAUACCCAUCUAAACAUUUCAAAAGAGUGUUCUAAACUCUACGUCUCUACUUCCUCACCUUUAGUCAUUUUUUUGUUUUACCAAUAGCAUCUUAAUUAUUCUAUCAAAAUAUUAAAAGGAUCCUAAUCUGUUGAAAUUAUUCUAGUAAAGUCACUAAUGAUUUUUUUAUUGCCAAAUCCAAUGAACAGUUUUAUUCUUUAAUUUUUAGUCAUUGUUGCUGAUAAUUCUUUUCUUGAUCCUCUAUUCUCUUGACUUCCAUUAUGCCAAAUUAUUCUGAUUCCUUAAAGAUUGCUUUGGGUUCAGUGUUUUUAGUGUAGUUCCUUCUAAGUAGUCUCCAGUAUGAUUUUAAUUACAUUGUUGCAUGUAAGAAUUCCUUAGAAGAAUGUUUCUAGGCUGGCGCGGUGGCUCACGCCUGCAAUCCCAGCACUUUGGGAGGCCGAGGCGGGUGGAUCAUGAGGUCAGGAGAUCAAGACCAUCCUGGCUAACAUGGUGAAACCCUGUCUCUACUAAAAAUACAAAAAAAAAAAAAAAAAUUAGCCGAGCAUGGUAGCAGGUGCCUGUAGUCCCAGCUACUCGGGAGGCUGACGCAGGAGAAUGGCGUGAACCUGGGAGGCAGAGCUUGCAGUGAGCCGAGAUCGCACCACUGCACUCCAGCCUGGGCAAGAAUGAGCCUCUGCCUCAAAAAGAAAAAAAAAGAAGAAUGUUUCUAAAUUUCAAAACAGUAGGUAUUUGUUUACUUAUUUUUCUGUCCUUUUGUUGUUGUUGGUAUCUGGUUUUAUUACAUUCAAGUCAGAAAAGAACCUGUGCAUUUUGGAACAUGUUGAAAUUUUCCUUUUAGUUAAACUGUGAUCAUGUUUUUUAUCAAUGUUUGAUGGGCA
rnacentral:lncRNA from 1 species